GUGCUGUGUGGGGGUAAUCCAGUUUCCUUGAUGUGGAAGAGAUUGAAAUUAUGUUUUCCAGCGCU
rnacentral:tRNA from 1 species